UACGUAGGGAGCAAGCGUUGUCCGGAAUCAUUGGGCGUAAAGCGCGCGUAGGCGGCCCUGUAAGUCCGUUGUGAAAGUCAAAGGCUCAACCUUUGAAAGCCGAUGGAUACUGCAGGGCUAGAGUCCGGAAGAGGCGAGUGGAAUUCCUGGUGUAGCGGUGAAAUGCGCAGAUAUCAGGAGGAACACCGAUGGCGAAGGCAGCUCGCUGGGACGGUACUGACGCUGAGGCGCGAAAGCGUGGGGGAGCAAACAGG
rnacentral:rRNA from 1 species